rnacentral:rRNA from 1 species
UACAGAGGUCUCAAGCGUUGUUCGGAUUCAUUGGGCGUAAAGGGCGCGUAGGCGGCGGGGUAAGUCGGGUGUGAAAUCUCAGAGCUCAACUCUGAAAUGGCACUUGAUACUGCUCUGCUAGAGGACUGGAGAGGAGAUUGGAAUUCACGGUGUAGCAGUGAAAUGCGUAGAUAUCGUGAGGAAGACCGGUGGCGAAGGCGAAUCUCUGGACAGUUACUGACACUGAGGCACGAAGGCCAGGGGAGCAAACGGG